AUGUCAAAAAUGGCUACUGAUUAUUUCUCUAAUCUAUUUACUGCAGACCACACGCUACAGGCUGGGCCAGUAAUUGAUCUCAUUAAUAACCGGGUCAGUGAGGACAUGAACACGGGAUUAUGUGCUGACUUUUCAGACAAGGAACUUUCUGAUGUUUUGUUCCAAAUUGGGCCUUUGAAAGCACCGGGGCCGGAUGGUUUCCCUGCCCGAGUGUUCCAAAGAAACUGGUCUGUCAUGAAAGAGCAGGUAAUUAAGGCGGUGAAGGAGUUCUUUCGGACAGGUAUCAUGCCAGAUGGGGUUAACAACACCUCUAUUGUAUUAAUUCCCAAGGUGGACAAUCCAACGAAGCUUGCGGAAUUCCGAUCUAUCAGUUUGUGUAAUGUUAUAUAUAAGGUGGUUGCUAAGUGGCUUGUAAACCGUCUCCGCCCCAUAUUGGAUGAAAUUAUCUCACCUGCACAGAGUGCCUUUGUUCCUGGACGGCUCAUUACGGAUAAUGCAUUGCUGGCCUUUGAAUGCAUACAUUAUAUCCAACAGGAAAAGGACCCAAGGAAAAGUUUCUGUGCAUACAAAUUUGAUCUCUCCAAAGCCUAUGAUCGGGUUGACUGGAUUUUCUUGAGGCAAAUGAUGCAAAAGAUG
rnacentral:rRNA from 1 species